rnacentral:rRNA from 1 species
AUGAACGCUGGCGGCGUGCCUAAUACAUGCAAGUCGAGCGAACAGAUGAGGAGCUUGCUCCUCUGACGUUAGCGGCGGACGGGUGAGUAACACGUGGAUAACCUACCUAUAAGACUGGGAUAACUUCGGGAAACCGGAGCUAAUACCGGAUAAUAUAUUGAACCGCAUGGUUCAAUAGUGAAAGACGGUUUUGCUGUCACUUAUAGAUGGAUCCGCGCCGCAUUAGCUAGUUGGUAAGGUAACGGCUUACCAAGGCAACGAUGCGUAGCCGACCUGAGAGGGUGAUCGGCCACACUGGAACUGAGACACGGUCCAGACUCCUACGGGAGGCAGCAGUGGGGAAUCUUCCGCAAUGGGCGAAAGCCUGACGGAGCAACGCCGCGUGAGUGAUGAAGGUCUUCGGAUCGUAAAACUCUGUUAUUAGGGAAGAACAAAUGUGUAAGUAACUAUGCACGUCUUGACGGUACCUAAUCAGAAAGCCACGGCUAACUACGUG